rnacentral:rRNA from 1 species
UNUGCUGUGAAAGGCUGGGGCUUAACCCUGGUUUUGCAGUGGGUACGGGCUAANUAGAGUGCAGUAGGGGAGACUGGAAUUCCUGGUGUAGCGGUGGAAUGCGCAGAUAUCAGGAGGAACACCGAUGGCGAAGGCAGGUCUCUGGGCUGUAACUGACGCUGAGAAGCGAAAGCAUGNGGAGCGAACAGGAUUAGAUACCCUGGUAGUCCAUGCCGUAAACGUUGGGCACUAGGUGUGGGGGACAUUCCACGUUUUCCGCGCCGUAGCUAACGCAUUAAGUGCCCCGCCUGGGGAGUACGGCCGCAAGGCUAAAACUCAAAGAAAUUGACGGGGGCCCGCACAAGCGGCGGAGCAUGCGGAUUAAUUCGAUGCAACGCGAAGAACCUUACCAAGGCUUGACAUAUACUGGACUGCGUCAGGGAUGGCGUUUCCCUUCGGGGCUGGUAUACAGGUGGUGCAUGGUUGUCGUCAGCUCGUGUCGUGAGAUGUUGGGUUAAGUCCCGCAACGAGCGCAACCCUCGUUCUAUGUUGCCAGCACGUGAUGGUGGGGACUCAUAGGAGACUGCCGGGGUCAACUCGGAGGAAGGUGGGGAUGACGUCAAAUCAUCAUGCCCCUUAUGUCUUGGGCUUCACGCAUGCUACAAUGGCCGGUACAGAGGGUUGCGAUACUGUGAGGUGGAGCUAAUCCCUAAAAGCCGGUCUCAGUUCGGAUUGGGGUCUGCAACUCGACCCCAUGAAGUCGGAGUCGCUAGUAAUCGCAGAUCAGCAACGCUGCGGUGAAUACGUUCCCGGGCCUUGUACACACCGCCCGUCAAGUCACGAAAGUUGGUAACACCCGAAGCCGGU